rnacentral:rRNA from 1 species
GACGAACGCUGGCGGCGUGCCUAAUACAUGCAAGUAGAACGCACAGUUUAUACCGUAGCUUGCUACACCAUAGACUGUGAGUUGCGAACGGGUGAGUAACGCGUAGGUAACCUGCCUGGUAGCGGGUGAUAACUAUUGGAAACGCUAGCUAAUACCGCAUAAUAUUGAUUAUUGCAUGAUAAUUGAUUGAAAGAUGCUAUUGCAUCACUACCAGAUGGACCUGCGUUGUAUUAGUUAGUAGGCGAGGUAACGGCUCACCUAGGCGACGAUACAUAGCCGCCCUGGGAGGGUGAUCGGCCACACUGGGACUGAGACACGGCCCAGACGCCUACGGGAGGCAGCAGUAGGGAAUCUUCGGCAAUGGACGAAAGUCUGACCGAGCAACGCCGCGUGAGUGAAGAAGGUUUUCGGAUCGUAAAGCUCUGUUGUAAGGGAAGAACGGGUGUGAGAGUGGAAAGUUCACACUGUGACGGUAUCUUACCAGAAAGGGACGGCUAACUACGUG